rnacentral:lncRNA from 1 species
GUACAGAAUUAUUUUCAAUACAAUGAACGAAGUUAUGAUUUUGAUGAUCAGGACACUAAGUUUUUCCUUCAACCUAAAAAAGAACCCAUGUCAGAAUAUUCUCUUUUUAUUGGUAAUUUACCAACAGAUUUAUCACGCAAUAAAUAUCAACUACUUCUUUCUGAUCAGUUAGGUGGAUGGGAAAAAGAUUUGUGCAUAAAAGCUAUAUUCUCUGCUAGCGGU